GCUAGCGGCAGGCUUACACAUGCAAGUCGAGGGGUAUAGUUCUUCGGAGCUAGAGACCGGCGCACGGGUGCGUAACGCGUAUGCAAUCUACCUUUUACAAAGGAAUAGCCCAGAGAAAUUUGGAUUAAUGCCUUAUAGUAUUGUGACUUGGCAUCAAGAUGUAAUUAAAGAUUUAUCGGUAAAAGAUGAGCAUGCGUCCCGUUAGCUAGUUGGUAUGGUAACGGCAUACCAAGGCUACGAUGGGUAGGGGUCCUGAGAGGGAGAUCCCCCACACUGGUACUGAGACACGGACCAGACUCCUACGGGAGGCAGCAGUGAGGAAUAUUGGACAAUGGGCGCAAGCCUGAUCCAGCCAUGCCGCGUGCAGGAUGACGGUCCUAUGGAUUGUAAACUGCUUUUAUACGAGAAGAAACACUACUUCGUGAAGUAGCUUGACGGUAUCGUAAGAAUAAGGAUCGGCUAACUCCGUGCCAGCAGCCGCGGUAAUACGGAGGAUCCAAGCGUUAUCCGGAAUCAUUGGGUUUAAAGGGUCCGUAGGCGGUUUAGUAAGUCAGUGGUGAAAGCCCAUCGCUCAACGGUGGAACGGCCAUUGAUACUGCUAGACUUGAAUUAUUAGGAAGUAACUAGAAUAUGUA
rnacentral:rRNA from 1 species